UAUUUUCUAAGACUCAUUCACCUUUCAAGCGGUUUUCAAGGUUAUUGUUUGAAACCACCAAGUCUGGGAGAAUGUUCUUUUUACGGCAAUAGCAUCUUCAGAUGCUGAGAUACUUCCUGUUUUGUAGUCCAACAUGUAAAGAACUUGGAAGUCUCUCAUUCUCACAAGAAAAAAGCUGAGCAAGCUAAAAAGGACUAAUUUUUCCUAGAUGUUUCGGGGAAUUCAGGACACAAGUCAAGUUGCUGUCCCCAAGUUGAAAAGACAGACAGAGAUUUGGAGAGCUCUGAAUAAUCAAGAUCAGAAUUCAAGAUCAAGAAUGUCAAAGUGACCAAAGGUAUUUCAAUUAGCAUCUGAUUCUUGGAGCUUUUGAAAGCAUCAUACUUCUAUGAAGAUCCACAUUUGGAAACCCUGAGGAUGGUAGAUUCAAGAGAUAAGUACUUAAGCUUCUUAUUUGUGAACUCCUGAAAU